CGCCAGUCUGCGUGGAGCCGACCUUGAAAUACCACCCUUUAAUGUUUGAUGUUCUAACGUGGACCCGUAAUCCGGGUUGCGGACAGUGUCUGGUGGGUAGUUUGACUGGGGCGGUCUCCUCCUAAAGAGUAACGGAGGAGCACGAAGGUUGGCUAAUCCUGGUCGGACAUCAGGAGGUUAGUGCAAUGGCAUAAGCCAGCUUGACUGCGAGCGUGACGGCGCGAGCAGGUGCGAAAGCAGGUCAUAGUGAUCCGGUGGUUCUGAAUGGAAGGGCCAUCGCUCAACGGAUAAAAGGUACUCCGGGGAUAACAGGCUGAUACCGCCCAAGAGUUCAUAUCGACGGCGGUGUUUGGCACCUCGAUGUCGGCUCAUCACAUCCUGGGGCUGAAGUAGGUCCCAAGGGUAUGGCUGUUCGCCAUUUAAAGUGGUACGCGAGCUGGGUUUAGAACGUCGUGAGACAGUUCGGUCCCUAUCUGCCGUGGGCGCUGGAGAACUGAGGGGGGCUGCUCCUAGUACGAGAGGACCGGAGUGGACGCAUCACUGGUGUUCGGGUUGUCAUGCCAAUGGCACUGCCCGGUAGCUAAAUGCGGAAGAGAUAAGUGCUGAAAGCAUCUAAGCACGAAACUUGCCCCGAGAUGAGUUCUCCCUGAGACUUAGAGUCUCCUGAAGGAACGUUGAAGACGACGACGUUGAUAGGCCGGGUGUGUAAGCGCAGCGAUGCGUUGAGCUAACCGGUACUAAUGAACCGUGAGGCUUAACCUU
rnacentral:rRNA from 1 species